rnacentral:rRNA from 1 species
GAUGCUUACCAUGCAGUCGAACGAUGAUCCCAGCUUGCUGGGGGAUUAGUGGCGAACGGGUGAGUAACACGUGAGUAACCUGCCCUUGACUCUGGGAUAAGCCUGGGAAACUGGGUCUAAUACCGGAUAUGACUCCUCAUCGCAUGGUGGGGGGUGGAAAGCUUUUGUGGUUUUGGAUGGACUCGCGGCCUAUCAGCUUGUUGGUGGGGUAAUGGCCUACCAAGGCGACGACGGGUAGCCGGCCUGAGAGGGUGACCGGCCACACUGGGACUGAGACACGGCCCAGACUCCUACGGGAGGCAGCAGUGGGGAAUAUUGCACAAUGGGCGCAAGCCUGAUGCAGCGACGCCGCGUGAGGGAUGACGGCCUUCGGGUUGUAAACCUCUUUCAGUAGGGAAGAAGCGAAAGUGACGGUACCUGCAGAAGAAGCGCCGGCUAACUACGUGCCAGCAGCCGCGGUAAUACGUAGGGCGCAAGCGUUAUCCGGAAUUAUUGGGCGUAAAGAGCUCGUAGGCGGUUUGUCGCGUCUGCUGUGAAAGACCGGGGCUCAACUCCGGUUCUGCAGUGGGUACGGGCAGACUAGAGUGCAGUAGGGGAGACUGGAAUUCCUGGUGUAGCGGUGAAAUGCGCAGAUAUCAGGAGGAACACCGAUGGCGAAGGCAGGUCUCUGGGCUGUAACUGACGCUGAGGAGCGAAAGCAUGGGGAGCGAACAGGAUUAGAUACCCUGGUAGUCCAUGCCGUAAACGUUGGGCACUAGGUGUGGGGGACAUUCCACGUUUUCCGCGCCGUAGCUAACGCAUUAAGUGCCCCGCCUGGGGAGUACGGCCGCAAGGCUAAAACUCCAAGGAAUUGACGGGGGCCCGCACAAGCGGCGGAGCAUGCGGAUAAUUCGAUGCAACGCGAAGAACCUUACCAAGGCUUGACAUGAACCGGAAAGACC